CCUCCAGGUCUUUCACAUGCAUCAUUGGAUUACAAUCUCAAGUCUGGGAUCCCAGUGGAAUUGAGUAUCCAUUGAGAAUUUACUGUGCUCUAGGCACGGAACAAGACGCUUCGGGUCCUUCAAAGACAACACCUAAUUAUCCCCAGAGAA
rnacentral:lncRNA from 12 species